rnacentral:rRNA from 1 species
UACGGGGGGAGCAAGCGUUGUUCGGAAUCACUGGGCGUAAAGGGAGUCUAGGCGGUUUGGUAAGUGGGAUGUGAAAUUCCCGGGCUCACCCCGGGACCUGCAUCCCAAACUGCUGAGCUUGAGUACAGGAGAGGGUGGGGGAAUUCCAGGUGUAGCGGUGAAAUGCGUAGAUAUCUGGAGGAAUACCGGUGGCGAAGGCGGCAUCCUGGACCGGCAUUGACGCUGAGUGAGCGAAAGCCAGGGGAGCAAACGGG